rnacentral:lncRNA from 15 species
CAGAUAUGUUUACUUCCCCUAGUCUAUUCAAAAAUGAGUCACCUAUUAACAGUACAUUGUUUUCAGCAAUAAACCUUUAACCCGCCAUUGGCCUUACAGCAAUGUGGCUUUAUCUAACAAGGAUUCUUUGAAAUGCAAAUGUUCCGACCCCCCUGACAGGCACAUCACAUCACAGUUCUGUCCGUGCAGUCGUACCUAUUCAGCUGUCUGUCCCCUUUUCAGCUCCAGCCAGCAGGUGAGGAGGACCAGACAUUUUGGAUAUUUUGUUUAAUUUUACUAACAGGAUUGAUUUAACUGUCUUGCCCGAGGCUGCUGAUUAACAAAGUUGAAUGCAGUUAAAGAGAUCAAAUGUGUGACCCUUAGUUCCACUUGUAUACUCACCUUUCUUUUUCCUUUCUUUCCUUAUUUUCCACACAGUGGUAGUGAAAUCUUAUUGAAUAUCUGAUAUGAUGGAGGUUUCUUCCCAAUCACAGCACCACACAACAGGCUUUAUGUCUGGUUUAUUUAGAUGUUGUUUAUUGGAUGGAUUUCAUAGAUUUUUUUUCUUGGUUGUAGUUUGUAUUAGCACAAAGAAGAAUUAGGGACGCUGGACUUCCUUUGGUUUCUUCUUAUUUCAAUUAACAUGUGAAUAAAGAUCAGAUCUGUAUUUAUUCAAUCAGAUCUUUGUAGGUUCAUAACCUUGUGUUGACCUUCUUGUCACAACAAAUACAAAAAACAAAAAAACCGCUAGAUUUUGGCUAAUGUUCAAGCAAUAACCAAGAGUCAGUUUUCCAUCACUCAAGUAUCACUGCAGAGUUUUGGUGUCCCAGUUUUUAUUUUGACAGUCACAUUCCUGACAUUUGGUUAUUUGGUGGUGUGUUGAUGAUGUGCAAGGAAUUUAAUUUCUAUAAAGUAAAUAUGCUGAUGUAUCCCUCCAACCACCCCCACUCUGCUCCUUCCAACUGUUUGAACAGCUGGGCUUUCUUUAUCACUGCUGUGGACCCACCGCUGAUUCCUCAUGGUGGGAGGGGUAAGUGAGAACAGGGAGAGUGAGUCAAGAGAGAGGCACACACCCUCACUGGCAGACUUCCAGUACUGCAAGAGUUCGGUUAAAGAAGCACUUGAUAAUUGUGACACUUAUAGAGCAGAAAUGUCUGCGAUACACGAGGUAAAAAAGCAAACUGUGUAACAGAGACAAUCCUAAUGAGAUUCCAGGGACACAAAAGUAAGUCCUCUUCGACCAGGGGAUCUGCUGAAGUGUCUGUGAGCAAGAAUCUCUAUUGACUUAAGUGGGCCAUUUAAGAUUCAGGUCAGAGGAAGGGGGAAACACUUUAACAGGAGUCCCACCAUAAAUAUCUACACCUUGGGUUUUGAUUUAUAGUUUAGCGUCUGUUUUAACUUGCUGAUAUCAUCACAGCAAUACUAGACGAAUGAAUUGUGCCUAAAAAGGAUGAAUGAACUUUGCUGAUAAGUCUUCACAGUAACUGUGUUUGCGUCCGUUCACUCACUUAUGAUACGAGCAACAGUUGGAUGGUUCGCAUUGUUUUCGCUUCCAGAUGCGAGACUAUUCUGUGUAAUAGUCAUGUUUCUACGGCGGCUUUAGGCUCU